rnacentral:rRNA from 1 species
CAGCCGCCACGGGAAUACGGAGGGUGCAAGCGUUAAUCGGAAUUACUGGGCGUAAAGCGCACGCAGGCGGUCUGUCAAGUCAGAUGUGAAAUCCCCGGGCUUAACCUGGGAACUGCAUUUGAAACUGGCAGGCUAGAGUCUUGUAGAGGGGGGUAGAAUUCCAGGUGUAGCGGUGAAAUGCGUAGAGAUCUGGAGGAAUACCGGUGGCGAAGGCGGCCCCCUGGACAAAGACUGACGCUCAGGUGCGAAAGCGUGGGGAGCAAACAGGAUUAGAUACCCCUGUAGUCCCUGUCUCUUAUAA